rnacentral:rRNA from 1 species
GACGAACGCUGGCGGCGUGCUUAACACAUGCAAGUCGAGCGGUAAGGCUCCUUCGGGAGUACACGAGCGGCGAACGGGUGAGUAACACGUGAGUAAUCUGCCCUUCACUUCGGGAUAACCACCGGAAACGGUGGCUAAUACCGAAUACGACCAGUCUUCGCAUGAGGUGCUGGUGGAAAGUCUUUUCGGUGCAGGAUGUGCUCGCGGCCUAUCAGCUUGUUGGUGGGGUAAUGGCCUACCAAGGCUUCGACGGGUAGCCGGCCUGAGAGGGUGACCGGCCACACUGGGACUGAGACACGGCCCAGACUCCUACGGGAGGCAGCAGUGGGGAAUAUUGGACAAUGGGCGAAAGCCUGAUCCAGCAACGCCGCGUGAGGGAUGACGGCCUUCGGGUUGUAAACCUCUUUCAGUACCGACGAAGCGCCCUGUCGGGUGGUGACGGUAGGUACAGAAGAAGGACCGGCCAACUACGUG